rnacentral:ncRNA from 1 species
UGAUAGCGUUGAUACGCAAGGUUGCUUCAGGCCCCGCCUGAGGGUUUUUGCGAGGAGCGAAUGUCAAGUCAAGAUACUGGCGACAA